UACGUAGGUGGCGAGCGUUAUCCGGAAUUACUGGGCGUAAAGCGCACGCAGGCGGUUAGGCAAGUUCGACGUGAAAGCUCCCGGCUUAACUGGGAGAGGUCGUUGAAAACUGCCUAGCUUGAGGCAAUGAGAGGGGUGUAGAAUUCCCGGUGUAGUGGUGGAAUGCGUAGAUAUCGGGGGGAAUACCAGUGGCGAAAGCGGCACCCUAGCGUUGUUCUGACGCUCAUGUGCGAAAGCGUGGGGAGCGAACGGGAUUAGAAACCCCUGUAGUCC
rnacentral:rRNA from 1 species